AGCGUAGACGGUGUGGCAAGUCCGAUGUGAAAGGCAUGGGCUCAACCUGUGGACUGCAUUGGAAACUGUCAUACUUGAGUGCCGGAGGGGUAAGCGGAAUUCCUAGUGUAGCGGUGAAAUGCGUAGAUAUUAGGAGGAACACCAGUGGCGAAGGCGGCUUACUGGACGGUAACUGACGUUGAGGCUCGAAAGCGUGGGGAGCAAACA
rnacentral:rRNA from 1 species